ACUUAAAUAGCUUAUAAAUUAGAGUAUAACAUUGAAGAUGUUAGGGAAAUAUUAAUAUUUUUAAGUA
rnacentral:tRNA from 1 species